rnacentral:rRNA from 1 species
UCAGGCCUAACACAUGCAAGUCGAACGGCAGCACGGGUGCUUGCACCUGGUGGCGAGUGGCGAACGGGUGAGUAACAUAUCGGAACGUAUCCAAUAAUGGGGGAUAACUAAUCGAAAGGUUGGCUAAUACCGCAUACGCCCUACGGGGGAAAGCUAGGGACCUUCGGGCCUGGCGUUAAUGGAGCGGCCGAUAUCUGAUUAGCUAGUUGGUGAGGUAAAGGCUCACCAAGGCGACGAUCAGUAGCUGGUCUGAGAGGACGACCAGCCACACUGGAACUGAGACACGGUCCAGACUCCUACGGGAGGCAGCAGUGGGGAAUUUUGGACAAUGGGCGCAAGCCUGAUCCAGCCAUUGGGCGUGAGUGAAGAAGGCCUUCGGGUUGAAAGCUAAAGGCAAGGGAAGAAAACUUACCCUCUAACAUAGGGUGAGGUGAC